GAAUGUGCAAGUAGAUAUACUGGGGUGCAAAGGAGCAAAAGAAAAAAUAACAAUAUGGGGAUGAGGUAGUUGGAUGGGCUAUUUACAGAUGGGCUAUGUACAGGUGCAAUGAUCGGUAAGCUGCUCUGACAGCUGAUGCUUAAAGUUAGUGAGGGAGAUAUAAGACUCCAGCUUCAGUGAUUUUUGCAAUUCAUUCCAGUCAUUGGCAGCAGAGAACUGGAAGGAAAGGCGGCCAAAGAGGAGUUGGCUUUCGGGGUGACCAGUGAAAUAUACCUGCUGGAGUGCAUGCUACGGGUGGGUGCUGCUAUGGUGACCAGUGAGCUGAGAUAAGACAGGCUUUACCUAGCAAAGACUUAUAGAUGACCUGGAGCCAGUGGGUUUGGCGACCAAUAUGAAGCGAGGGCCAGCCAACGAGAGCAUACAGGUCGCAGUGGUGGGUAGUAUAUGGGGCUUUGGUGACAAAACAGAUGGCACUGUGAUAGACUACAUCCAAUUUGCUGAGUAGAGUGUUGGAGGCUAUUUUGUAAAUGACUUCGCCGAAGUCAAAGAUUGGUAGUAUAGUCGCUUUUACGAGGGUGUGUUUGGCAGCAUGAAUGAAGGAUGCCUUGUUGCAAAAUAGGAAGCCAAUUCUAGAUUUAAUUUUGGAUUGGAGAUGCUUAAUGUGAGUCUGGAAGGAGACUUUACCGUCUAACCAAACACCUAGGUAUUUGUAGUUGUCCACAUAUUCUAAGUCAGAACCGUCCAGAGUAGUGAUGCUAGACGGGCGAGUGGGUACGGGUAGCGAUUGGUUGAAGAGCAUGCAUUUAGUUUUGCUUGCAUUUCAGAGCAGUUGGAGGCCACGGAAGGAGAGUUGUAUGGCAUUGAAGCUCAUCUGGAGGUUUGUUAGCACGGUGUCCAAAGAAGGGCCAGAUGUAUACAGAAUGGUGUCGUCUGCAUAGAGGUGGAUCAGGGAAUCACCAGCAGCAUAAAUAAUAACUCAAUCUGGUAACUACUCUACUCUAUGGGAACUUGACUCGCUCUCAGUAAGAUGAUGAAGGUCAGUAACACUUUCUAUGAGGUAUAUAUGCAAAUAAGGCAUUAUAGUGCAUUAUAAAACUUGCAUAAGCUGUCAUAACAACUCAAGUAGUUAUAACAUCCCAAUUUAGGAUCUUACUUAGGCCUACUCAAAACAAAUAACAAUUGUUCAAAGUCUGCAUUGAGAGAGGUAAGAUGUUAUAAUCAUAUAACAUGUCAUGUGUCAUGUAACAGUGUGGAUGCCAGGUGUAAUGUAACAGUGUGGAUGCCAGGUGUAAUGUAACAGUGUGGAUGCCAGGUGUAAUGUAACAGUGUGGAUGCCAGGUGUAAUGUAACAGUGUGGAUGCCAGGUGUAAUGUAACAGUGUGGAUGCCAGGUGUAAUGUAACAGUGUGGAUGCUAGGUGUAAUGUAACAGUGUGGAUGCUAGGUGUAAUGUAACAGUGUGGACGCUAGGUGUAAUGUAACAUUGUGGACACUAGGUGUAAUGUAACAGUGUGGACGCCAGGUGUAAUGUAACAUUGUGGACACUAAGUGUAAUGUAACAGUGUGGACGCUAGGUGUAAUGUAACAUUGUGGACACUAGGUGUAAUGUAACAGUGUGGACGCUAGGUGUAAUGUAACAUUGUGGACACUAGGUGUAAUGUAACAGUGUGGACGCC
ensembl:lncRNA